rnacentral:rRNA from 1 species
AGUUUGAUCCUGGCUCAGAUUGAACGCUGGCGGCAGGCUUAACACAUGCAAGUCGAGCGGGCGAGGUUGCUUCGGUAACUGAGCUAGCGGCGGACGGGUGAGUAAAGCUUAGGAAUCUGCCUAUUAGUGGGGGACAACAUUCCGAAAGGGAUGCUAAUACCGCAUACGUCCUACGGGAGAAAGCAGGGAAUCACUUGUGACCUUGCGCUAAUAGAUGAGCCUAAGUCGGAUUAGCUAGUUGGUGGGGUAAAGGCCUACCAAGGCGACGAUCUGUAGCGGGUCUGAGAGGAUGAUCCGCCACACUGGGACUGAGACACGGCCCAGACUCCUACGGGAGGCAGCAGUGGGGAAUAUUGGACAAUGGGGGGAACCCUGAUCCAGCCAUGCCGCGUGUGUGAAGAAGGCCUUUUGGCUGUAAAGCACUUUAAGCGAGGAGGAGGCUUACCUGGUUAAUACCUGGGAUAAGUGGACGUUACUCGCAGAAUAAGCACCGGCUAACUCUGUGCCAGCAGCCGCGGUAAUACAGAGGGUGCGAGCGUUAAUCGGAUUUACUGGGCGUAAAGCGCGCGUAGGUGGUUAAUUAAGUCAAAUGUGAAAUCCCCGAGCUUAACUUGGGAAUUGCAUUCGAUACUGGUUAGCUAGAGUAUGGGAGAGGAUGGUAGAAUUCCAAAGUGUAGCGGUGAAAUGCGUAGAGAUCUGGAGGAAUACCGAUGGCGAAGGCAGCCAUCUGGCCUAAUACUGACACUGAGGUGCGAAAGCAUGGGGAGCAAACAGGAUUAGAUACCCUGGUAGUCCAUGCCGUAAACGAUGUCUACUAGCCGUUGGGGGAUUUGAUCCUUUAGUGGCGCAGCUAACGCGAUAAGUAGACCGCCUGGGGAGUACGGUCGCAAGACUAAAACUCAAAUGAAUUGACGGGGGCCCGCACAAGCGGUGGAGCAUGUGGUUUAAUUCGAUGCAACGCGAAGAACCUUACCUGGCCUUGACAUAGUAGAAACUUUCCAGAGAUGGAUUGGUGCCUUCGGGAAUCUACAUACAGGUGCUGCAUGGCUGUCGUCAGCUCGUG